AUGGGGCAUUUUUCUUCAGAUUGUCCUGAGCCCAAGAGAGAGCGAGCUCACCUUGCUGCUAAUGAUGAAGAGGAUGAGCCUGGGCUGCUGAUGGCCGAAGUGUGUGACGUGGUCAUCGCCUCUGAUAAGGGUGGCGAGCAGGUCCUGUUGAAUGAAGAGAGGGUGAUCCCGAAGCUGACCGGUGAACAAAAUCUGAGUUGGUACCUGGAUACUGGAGCUAGUAACCAUAUGACUGGGUCCAUCAGCAAGUUUGCGGAGUUGGAUGAAUCUGUGAAAGGUACUGUACGUUUUGGUGAUGGUUCCAAAGUUGAAAUUUGUGGGAGAGGUUCAGUACUAAUGGAAACUCAGAGCGGAGAGCACCGUGUCCUAACCGAGGUUUAUUACAUUCCUCGGCUGAAAAGCAACAUCAUUAGUUUGGGUCAGCUAGAUGAGAUAGGCUGCAAGUACUCAGCUGAAGAUGGAGUCAUGGUGGUACUGGAUCAGCAGAGAAAAUUGUUUGCAAGAGUUAAACAUGCAAAUAACAGAUUAUACAUUCUUGACAUACAGCCGGCACAACCGGUUUGUUUGCUCUCUCGUCAAGAUGACGAGGCAUGGCGAUGGCACGCUCGAUAUGGUCAUGUAAAUUUUCAUGCACUGAAAAAGAUGGGAAGAGAAGGUAUGGUAAAGGGCCUACCAAUGCUCGAUCAGGUUCAUCAAGUAUGUGAUGGUUGUAUGCUAGGGAAGCAACACCGAAACCCUUUUCCCCGUCAAGCUCGUUUUCGUGCAGAGGAUAAAUUGCAGCUGGUGCAUGGUUAA
rnacentral:rRNA from 1 species